GGGUUGUGAGGUUAAGCGACUAAGCGUACACGGUGGAUGCCCUGGCAGUCAGAGGCGAUGAAGGACGUGCUAAUCUGCGAAAAGCGUCGGUAAGGUGAUAUGAACCGUUAUAACCGGCGAUGUCCGAAUGGGGAAACCCAGUGUGAUUCGUCACACUAUCGUUAACUGAAUACAUAGGUUAACGAGGCGAACCGGGGGAACUGAAACAUCUAAGUACCCCGAGGAAAAGAAAUCAACCGAGAUUCCCCCAGUAGCGGCGAGCGAACGGGGAGCAGCCCAGAGUCUGAAUCAGCUUGUGUGUUAGUGGAACGGUCUGGAAAGUCCGACGGUACAGGGUGAUAGUCCCGUACACCAAAAUGCACAGGCUGUGAACUCGAAGAGUAGGGCGGGACACGUGGUAUCCUGUCUGAAUAUGGGGGGACCAUCCUCCAAGGCUAAAUACUCCUGACUGACCGAUAGUGAACCAGUACCGUGAGGGAAAGGCGAAAAGAACCCCG
rnacentral:rRNA from 1 species